rnacentral:snRNA from 1 species
CGUGGCGGUUGACGGCAACG